rnacentral:rRNA from 1 species
AUGAACGCUGGCGGCGUGCCUAAUACAUGCAAGUCGAGCAAACGGACGAGAAGCUUGCUUCUCUGAUGUUAGCGGCGGACGGGUGAGUAACACGUGGAUAACCUACCUAUAAGACUGGGAUAACUUCGGGAAACCGGAGCUAAUACCGGAUAAUAUUUUGAACCGCAUGGUUCAAAAGUGAAAGACGGUCUUGCUGUCACUUAUAGAUGGAUCCGCGCUGCAUUAGCUAGUUGGUAAGGUAACGGCUUACCAAGGCAACGAUGCAUAGCCGACCUGAGAGGGUGAUCGGCCACACUGGAACUGAGACACGGUCCAGACUCCUACGGGAGGCAGCAGUAGGGAAUCUUCCGCAAUGGGCGAAAGCCUGACGGAGCAACGCCGCGUGAGUGAUGAAGGUCUUCGGAUCGUAAAACUCUGUUAUUAGGGAAGAACAUAUGUGUAAGUAACUGUGCACAUCUUGACGGUACCUAAUCAGAAAGCCACGGCUAACUACG